rnacentral:rRNA from 1 species
UGCAAGUCGAGCGGUAGCACAGAGAGCUUGCUCUCGGGUGACGAGCGGCGGACGGGUGAGUAAUGUCUGGGAAACUGCCUGAUGGAGGGGGAUAACUACUGGAAACGGUAGCUAAUACCGCAUAACGUCGCAAGACCAAAGUGGGGGACCUUCGGGCCUCAUGCCAUCAGAUGUGCCCAGAUGGGAUUAGCUGGUAGGUGGGGUAACGGCUCACCUAGGCGACGAUCCCUAGCUGGUCUGAGAGGAUGACCAGCCACACUGGAACUGAGACACGGUCCAGACUCCUACGGGAGGCAGCAGUGGGGAAUAUUGCACAAUGGGCGCAAGCCUGAUGCAGCCAUGCCGCGUGUGUGAAGAAGGCCUUCGGGUUGUAAAGCACUUUCAGCGGGGAGGAAGGCGGUGAGGUUAAUAACCUCAUCGAUUGACGUUACCCGCAGAAGAAGCACCGGCUAACUCCGUGCCAGCAGCCGCGGUAAUACGGAGGGUGCAAGCGUUAAUCGGAAUUACUGGGCGUAAAGCGCACGCAGGCGGUCUGUCAAGUCGGAUGUGAAAUCCCCGGGCUCAACCUGGGAACUGCAUUCGAAACUGGCAGGCUAGAGUCUUGUAGAGGGGGGUAGAAUUCCAGGUGUAGCGGUGAAAUGCGUAGAGAUCUGGAGGAAUACCGGUGGGCGAAGGCGGCCCCCUGGACAAAGACUGACGCUCAGGUGCGAAAGCGUGGGGAGCAAACAGGAUUAGAUACCCCUGGUAGUCCACGCUGUAAACGAUGUCGAUUUGGAGGUUGUGCCCUUUGAGGCGUGGCUUCCGGAGCUAACGCGUUAAAUCGACCGCCUGGGGAGUACGGCCGCAAGGUUAAAACUCAAAUGAAUUGACGGGGGCCCGCACAAGCGGUGGAGCAUGUGGUUUAAUUCGAUGCAACGCGAAGAACCUUACCUGGUCUUGACAUCCACAGAACUUUCCAGAGAUGGAUUGGUGCCUUCGGGAACUGUGAGACAGGUGCUGCAUGGCUGUCGUCAGCUCGUGUUGUGAAAUGUUGGGUUAAGUCCCGCAACGAGCGCAACCCUUAUCCUUUGUUGCCAGCGGUUAGGCCGGGAACUCAAAGGAGACUGCCAGUGAUAAACUGGAGGAAGGUGGGGAUGACGUCAAGUCAUCAUGGCCCUUACGACCAGGGCUACACACGUGCUACAAUGGCAUAUACAAAGAGAAGCGACCUCGCGAGAGCAAGCGGACCUCAUAAAGUAUGUCGUAGUCCGGAUUGGAGUCUGCAACUCGACUCCAUGAAGUCGGAAUCGCUAGUAAUCGUAGAUCAGAAUGCUACGGUGAAUACGUUCCCGGGCCUUGUACACACCGCCCGUCACACCAUGGGAGUGGGUUGCAAAAGAAGUAGGUAGCUUAACCUUCGGGAGGGCGCUACCA